CUUCAGCGAGCCGAGGAGCAGGGGGCGGCCCUCGGGCCGGCCCUGCCCGUAGGUGGACAGGAGCGCCUUGGCCUC
rnacentral:antisense_RNA from 1 species